GGUGAAGAAGGAUAGAGGGUAGUAACUGGCCUUUAUUUGACGGUAAUCAACCAGAAAGUCACGGCUAACUACGUGCCAGCAGCCGCGGUAAUACGUAGGUGGCAAGCGUUGUCCGGAUUUAUUGGGCGUAAAGCGAGCGCAGGCGGAAGAAUAAGUCUGAUGUGAAAGCCCUCGGCUUAACCGAGGAACUGCAUCGGAAACUGUUUUUCUUGAGUGCAGAAGAGGAGAGUGGAACUCCAUGUGUAGCGGUGGAAUGCGUAGAUAUAUGGAAGAACACCAGUGGCGAAGGCGGCUCUCUGGUCUGCAACUGACGCUGAGGCUCGAAAGCAUGGGUAGCGAACAGGAUUAGAUACCCUGGUAGUCCAUGCCGUAAACGAUGAGUGCUAAGUGUUGGGAGGUUUCCGCCUCUCAGUGCUGCAGCUAACGCAUUAAGCACUCCGCCUGGGGAGUACGACCGCAAGGUUGAAACUCAAAGGAAUUGACGGGGGCCCGCACAAGCGGUGGAGCAUGUGGUUUAAUUCGAAGCAACGCGAAGAACCUUACCAGGUCUUGACAUCUAGUGCAAUCCGUAGAGAUACGGAGUUCCCUUCGGGGACACUAAGACAGGUGGUGCAUGGCUGUCGUCAGCUCGUGUCGUGAGAUGUUGGGUUAAGUCCCGCAACGAGCGCAACCCUUGUCAUUAGUUGCCAGCAUUAAGUUGGGCACUCUAAUGAGACUGCCGGUGACAAACCGGAGGAAGGUGGGGAUGACGUCAAGUCAUCAUGCCCCUUAUGACCUGGGCUACACACGUGCUACAAUGGACAGUACAACGAGGAGCAAGCCUGCGAAGGCAAGCGAAUCUCUUAAAGCUGUUCUCAGUUCGGACUGCAGUCUGCAACUCGACUGCACGAAGCUGGAAUCGCUAGUAAUCGCGGAUCAGCACGCCGCGGUGAAUACGUUCCCGGGCCUUGUACACACCGCCCGUCACACCAUGGGAGUCUGCAAUGCCCAA
rnacentral:rRNA from 1 species